GAUGAAGAACGCAGCGAAAUGCGAUACGUAAUGUGAAUUGCAGAUCUCUCAGUGAAUCAUCGAAUCUUUGAACGCACAUUGCGCCCCUUGGUAUCCCGAGGGGCAUGCCUGUUCGAGCGUCAUUUCACCACUCAAGCCUGGCUUGGUGUUGGGCGACGUCCUCUUUGGGGACGCGCCUCGAAACGCUCGGCGGCGUGGCACCGGCUUUAAGCGUAGCAGAAUCUUUCGCUUUGGAAGUCGGGGCCCCGUCUGCCGGAAGACCUGCUCGCAAGGUUGACCUCGGAUCAGGCAGGGAUACCCGCUGAACUUAAGCAUAUCAAUAAGCGGAGGA
rnacentral:misc_RNA from 1 species